CUUAUGCCGGCGACCGGCGACGGGUGCGUAACGCGUAUGUAACCUACCUUUGACAGGGGGAUAACAUCGAGAAAUUGGUACUAAUACCCCAUAACAUCACCGGAGGCAUCUUCGGUGGUUGAAAACUCAGGUGGUCAGAGAUGGACAUGCGUUGUAUUAGCUAGUUGGUGAGGUAACGGCUCACCAAGGCGACGAUACAUAGGGGGACUGAGAGGUCAACCCCCCACAUUGGUACUGAGACACGGACCAAACUCCUACGGGAGGCAGCAG
rnacentral:rRNA from 1 species